rnacentral:rRNA from 1 species
UACGAAGGGGGCUAGCGUUGCUCGGAAUCACUGGGCGUAAAGGGUGCGUAGGCGGGUCUUUAAGUCAGGGGUGAAAUCCUGGAGCUCAACUCCAGAACUGCCUUUGAUACUGAAGAUCUUGAGUUCGGGAGAGGUGAGUGGGACUGCGAGUGUAGAGGUGAAAUUCGUAGAUAUUCGCAAGAACACCAGUGGCGAAGGCGGCUCACUGGCCCGAUACUGACGCUGAGGCACGAAAGCGUGGGUAGCAAACAGG